UUACAUUUUAAUUUACAUAUGUAAAAUAUUAAAUUUUUAAUAAAAGAAGCACACUCUAUUAAAUUAUAUUUGAUAUUUUGAUAAUUGUGGAGAAAGAAACAAAGGUGAGUGCUUAAACGUCUAUUAAUUUUAUAAGUCACAUUGCUAUGUAACUAAAUUAUAAUUAUUUCUUACAAAAUAUUGUCUCAUUUUGAAAUUUUAAUUUGAAAUAUUAUAAUUAUAAAAAAUACUUCAACACCAAUAAAUUAAAAAGAUAAAUUUUUUUCUGAAGAAUAUGAACAAUUCAAAAUGGGAAAGGAAAAUGUGCAAUGGAUAAAAUGAAAAGCAAUAAAGAGAGAAACAAAAAAAUAAGAGUGGCAAAAUAAAAUUUUAAUUUACAUGUAUAUAUAUUUUAAAAAUAAAAUAUAAAUACAAAAUAUAAAUAUAAAAAGUGUGUAGAUAUGCAUGUAUGUAUAUAUACGUAUACAUAUAUCUAAAAAUGGAAUAAUUAAAUAUUUAAUAUAUAUAUUAUAAAAAUUAAAAUAUUUGAAAAUUAAUAAUUUUACCGCAUAAUUAUCUCCCACGAAAAGGGCCUGACGCCAGACCCUUUUCAUGGCAGAAAAUCUCUGCUAUAAAAAGACAGUCCAGGAGGCCUGGCGCCACAGAGAAUCUCUAUCAUGGAGAGAGUUCCGAGUCCUAACGCCACUUUAAGUGGCGCCACGACUCGAGACAGACAUGUUAAUCCCAAGGCGUCUGGCGCCUCAGGACUGGUAGAAGAACGCAAUCUAGUGCUACUUUAAGUGGCGCCAGAUUGCAGUCUGUCAACCUAACUCCACUUUAAGUGGCGCCAAGACUCGGGUGUAUUAUGUAAGUCCCGAGGCAUCUUCCAGAAGACGUCUCGGGACUACUAGAAGACCGCAUCCUGGCGCCACUUGUCUUCGGGCAACACGUAAUAGGUUGCCAUCCCUCAUUCCCACCCUCUACUCAAUUCCUCACAUUCCCACCCCUCUACUCAAUUUCCCUAAUUACAACCUAAAUUAUACAAAUUCCCAAAAUUUUCCAUUCUCAAUCUCAAUACACCCUCCCUUUCAAUCUCCCAAUAUUGUCAUUACAUCCUCUCCUA
rnacentral:lncRNA from 1 species